rnacentral:misc_RNA from 2 species
AACGCACAUUGCGGCCAUAGGUAUUCCUUUGGCCAUGCCUGUUCGAGCGUCAUUUACACCCUCAAGCCUAGCUUGGUGUUGGGCGUCUGUCCCGCUUCGCGCGCGGACUCGCCUCAAAGUCAUUGGCGGCGGUCGUGCCGGCCCCUGAGCGCAGCACAUUUGCGCUUCUCGGAGGCCCGGCGGACCCGCGCUCCAGCAAGACCUUUCUACGACUUGACCUCGGAUCAGGUAGGGAUACCCGCUGAACUUAA